GUCCAGGGUAGCCUAGUGGACAUGGCAUCUGCGCGGUAAGCGGAAGGUCGUGGGUUCCCAUACCUGGACA
rnacentral:tRNA from 1 species